AUGGGAGAUCAUCAGCUGAUGUACGCUGCUCCGGCCAUGCACAACGGCGGCGGCGGCGGUGGAGCUGUCUCACACGGCAUGUGGUGGAACACCAACACAACCGCGGUGCCUGCGGCGGCGUGCUCGACGGAGCUCGCAGGGUUCAACGCCUGGCCGGCCGCUCAGCUGGCUGCUGGCGGUGGCUACGACAUGGCGGUGGCGGACGGCGGCAAGGCCAAGAGCUGCACCACCACGGCCUCCUCCGAGUCGCCCGGGAACAACAGCUCCGUAACCUUCCAAGAAACAGCCAGCAUCAGCGACCCGGCAGCCGGCUUCACCGACUGGAAUACCCCUUACAUGAGCAACGGCGGCGCUGGUAACAUGCAUGGGUUCCUCCAAGUUGGCCACCAUGACAUGAGCUCAAGAACGGACCAGCAGAGCCACAUGAACGCGUCGAGCCUGAUGAAUGACCCAUCACCGAAUAACCUAGACCUAGCGCUGCAAGGCCACCACCAGCAGCAGCAUCAGCAGGCCGGCGAUCACCACCGCCAGCAGCAGCAGCUGUUGUCUAGCCUGGGGGCGCCCGAGCUGCUCCUGUCACCGAACUCGCCCUACGGGUUCCAGUCGUCGUCGCUGUUGAGGAGCCUCUUGGAGCCGACGGCCAAGCCGGCACCGGCGGCGGGGAUUCAGCAGUACCAGUACCAGCAGAUGGGCGGGCAGGCAGGGGUCAGGGAGCCGCUCCACUUCACCAACGACGCGGCGUUCUGGAACCCGUCUGCCGGGUUCGGCAUGGCGAUGCCAGCGCCGGCGGUGUCUGAGCAGACUAGCGCGCGUGCGGUGAAACGACCAUCACCGGCGCCCCGCGGGGCAAACCUUGCACUAAAGAGUGUGUUAGAAGGAGUGGGGGACUCUAGCUCGAUCGUUACCAAGAAGGCGAACAGCGAGCCAGCAUUCAAGAAGCCGAGAACGGAGACGCCGUCGUCAUUGCCGACCUUCAAGGUUAGGAAGGAGAAGCUAGGGGACAGGAUCACAGCGCUCCAACAGCUCGUCUCUCCUUUCGGAAAGACGGAUACGGCGUCGGUGCUCCACGAGACCAUCGAGUACAUCAAGUUCCUCCACGACCAAGCUGGUGUGCUUAGUGCUCCAUACUUGAAGAGGGGCCAUCAUCAGCAUCAAGUGCCACAGUACCUCAAGAGCUCGAGUGCUAGCCCUGACAAGUCGUGCAAGGAUGGCGGCAGCGAGGUGUCGCUCAAGGGCCGGGGGCUGUGCCUGGUGCCGAUAUCGAGCACGUUCGCGGUGGCCAGCGAUGGGCCCGUCGACUUCUGGACUCCCUUCGGCGGCCAGUUUAGGUAG
rnacentral:rRNA from 1 species